rnacentral:rRNA from 1 species
GGCAACAGCUCAAAUUUGAAAUCUGGCCCCCUCGGGGCCCGAGUUGUAAUUUGGAGAAGAUGCUUUUGGCGCGGCCCCUUCUGAGUUCCCUGGAACGGGACGCCAUAGAGGGUGAGAGCCCCGUAUAGUUGGAUGCCAAGCCUUUGUAAAGCUCCUUC